AUUUCUGUAUGACUAUAGGCCUGUCAUUGACUCUUUCAUGUAGUUUUUGUUCUCUUUGCAGAAAAACUUCUUGGAAAAAGCAGAAGUCGUCACUGGUCCAUACUUGGAGAAAGGGAAUCUCUGGACUUUCUUUUUAAGUUCAUCUAGUUUUAGUUGAGAAUCUUGUUUUUUUUUUUUUUUUUUUUUUUUUUUGAGUGCCCAUAUUAAGUGUCAGAAACUCCAGUCUCACUUCCUGUUACCAAUUACCUUAGAUGCUGUGCAGUGAGAUGGUCAGUGAUGUAGUGUUCCUGGCAUGGAAGUUUCUUGCACAAAAGAAAGUGGUCCAUAAAAUAUAUGAAAAUGAGGAUGUUCAUGAUUCAAUAUCCCAUACUAAAUAGUUUAGUUGCAGGAAGACCUUACAAAGAUUUCUGGAGACUGAGAGACUGGCUUUGAGAAGAUAUUUGGAAAAGCAACCUCUCACUUUGGGCUUGGUUUAAAGGGAGCCUGUUCAAAUUUGUUGACUCAUGUCUAAAAUAAAAAUAUAAAAAUAAAACACUUAAAAACCUCUAGGAAUGAUGAUAUCCACUAGUUAAGACUACAGCAGUUUAAUAAUACAUCUUGCUGAACUUUUUU